rnacentral:rRNA from 1 species
GUGAGGAAUUUUGCGCAAUGGAUGCAAGUCUGACCCAGCCAUCCCGCGUGCCGGAAGAAGGCCCUCAGGGUUGUAAACGGCUUUUGACGGUGAAGAAUCGACAGGAUGCGUCCUGUUUUGACGGUAGCCGUUGAAUAAGCACCGGCUAACUCCGUGCCAGCAGCCGCGGUAAUACGGAGGGUGCGAGCGUUGUCCGGAUUUAUUGGGUUUAAAGGGUGCGUAGGCUGGAAGGUCAGUCAGCGGUGAAAAGCUGUCGCUUAACGAUAGUCUUGCCGCAGAUACUUCCGUUCUUGGAUGAGGAGGAGGCCACUGGAACGGAUGGUGUAGCGGUGAAAUGCAUAGAUAUCAUCCAGAACACCGAUUGCGAAGGCAGGUGGCUGUACCUUAAUCGACGCUGAUGCACGAAAGCAUGGGGAGCAAACAGGAUUAGAAACCCGGGUAGUCC